rnacentral:rRNA from 1 species
UACGGAGGAUCCGAGCGUUAUCCGGAUUUAUUGGGUUUAAAGGGUUCGUAGGCGGACUGGUAAGUCAGCUGUGAAAGCUUACGGCUCAACCGUGAAAUUGCAGUUGAUACUGUUGGUCUUGAGUAUACAAGAGGUGGGCGGAAUUUGUCGUGUAGCGGUGAAAUGCUUAGAUAUCACAAAGAAUUCCAAUUGCGAAGGCAGCUCACUGGGUUAUCACUGACGCUGAUGCACGAAGGCGUGGGUAUCAAACAGG